rnacentral:rRNA from 1 species
GAUGAACGCUGGCGGCGUGCCUAAUACAUGCAAGUCGAGCGAACGGACGAGAAACUUGCUUCUCUGAUGUUAGCGGCGGACGGAUGCGUAACACGUGGAUAACCUACCUAUAAGACUGGGCUAACUUCGGGAAACCGGAGCUAAUACCGGAUAAUAUUUUCAACCGCAUGGUUCCACAGUGAAAGACGGUCUUGCUGUCACUUAUAGAUGGAUACGCGCUGCAUUAGCUAGUUUGUAAGGUAACGGCCUACCAAGGCAACGAUGCAUAGCCGACCUGAGAGGGUGAUCGGCCACACUGGAACUGAGACACGGUCCAGACUCCUACGGGAGGCAGCAGUAGAGAAUCUUCCGCAAUGGGCGAAAGCCUGACUGAGCAACGCCGCGUGAGUGAUGAAGGUCUUCGGAUCGUAAAACUCUGUUAUUAGGGAAGAACAUAUGUGUAAGUAACUGUGCACAUCUUGACGGUACCUAAUCAGAAAGCCACGGCUAACUACGUG